CAUUCACAAAAAGUUUCAUAAUUUUAGGAGCCAUAAUUAAUUAGUUUGGAAUUUACAAACAUCAACACAUUUGAGCAUUUUCUAAAAAGAAUAAAACACUAAAAACCUUUUACACCUAGCCCCAGCCACUCACUCCCACUGACACAUGUGACCGGGUCACUCCAACAGUACCCUGUGUUGACUGCAGCGGUGUUGGCUUCGGCCAGCGGGUACUCACCGCCGGUGAGGUUGUCGGCGACGAGGUCAACGCCAGCAGACUCGCCUUGCCCAUGUGCACACACUGGCACCACCCCUUGACCCUCUAGCGCACUGCAACAAUAACCCCGACGACAAACUCCGACGGCAUGGCGGUGUGAACCGGUGGGCACAGUGGUGUCUCGGCUGCUCCGACAUGCAUGCAUCUGAUUAAAACAAGGAGCCGAUUGCGAUUAGGACAUCAAGGUGAACCCAAAUCAAAAGAUAGGAGGAAGAGAGAGCAGCUCAAGUGGCUCAAGUGACAUAGCCACUGUGGAGGAAUGCGUGGCGGUGCUCCAGACGGCGAGGAAGAAGAUGAUGACUCCUAUCCAACUCCGACAGAGUGGAACGGUGCCAACGACUUUAGCAGAUGCGCAAGGACCGUGCAGAGCUAUAUGCACGAUUAAUUAGAUGGAGGUGGAUCUAGGUGGGUGAAUUGCGCCGGUGAGCGAGAGACAGCCAUGGCGGCGCUGCCACGACGGAAAAUGUGCACACGGUCCACUGUGGCAGCAAGAGGCGAGGUGAUCAGGCUCGGGUGCUGUGCAAGAGCAAGGCAAAGACAUGGACGAGAGUAAUUGGAUGGAGAACGAGUGAGCACGAUGAAUUUGACCGGCAUGUCAAGUUCAUCGGCGACGAGCAGAGAGGGGAGAAAGAGGAUAGGAGCCGGUGUUGAGCACUUAAGAAGGUGAAGUUGGGUUCUCC
rnacentral:lncRNA from 1 species